CUAACAAGGAUUCCCCUAGUAACGGCGAGUGAAGCGGGAAGAGCUCAAGCUUAAAAUCUCCAUACUUGUAUGGCGAAUUGUAGUCUAUUGAGGCUGUUGUCAGCAUCGCGAUCGGGGACAAGUCCCUUGGAAAAGGGCAGCAUGGAGGGUGAUACUCCCGUCUCUGCUCCGAUUUGCGAUGUGUACGAUACGCUUUCUUUGAGUCGAGUUGUUUGGGAAUACAGCUCAAAGUAGGUGGUAAAUUCCAUCUAAAGCUAAAUAUUGGUGCGAGACCGAUAGCGAACAAGUCCGUGAGGGAAAGAUGAAAAGAACUUUGAAAAGAGAGUUAAAGAGUACCUGAAACUGCUGAAAGGGAACCGUAUCGUUUCCAGUGUUGUAUCCCAUGCAUAUUUCAUUCGCGGAGCAAUUUGCGGGUGCCCUGUGCAUGGGUGUGACGUCAGGGUCAGUUUGUAUGCUGCGGGAGAUGGUCAGUGAGGAGGUGCGUCACUUCGGUGAAAGUUAUAUCUCGCUGUCUAGUAGCCGCGGUUGAGACUGAGGUGCCUACAACAUGCUUUGGGGUUCCGUGUUGUCUCGUGUUAGUGACUGUUUGGAUAGCUUGCUAUGUCUGUGGUUUACUAGUGCGAUCGAUGAUGCGGACAACCUCUUGCUGUUCGGGACCCUGGCGAAA
rnacentral:rRNA from 1 species